rnacentral:rRNA from 1 species
UACAGAGACUGCAAGCGUUAUUCGGAUUCACUGGGCGUAAAGGGUGCGCAGGCGGCCAAGUGUGUCAGGUGUGAAAUCCCGAGGCUUAACCUCGGAACUGCGCCUGAAACUACUUGGCUAGAGUACUGGAGAGGGUAACGGAAUUCACGGUGUAGCAGUGAAAUGCGUAGAUAUCGAGAGGAACACCAGUGGCGAAGGCGAGUCCCUGGACAACACCUGACACUGAGGCACGAAAGCUAGGGGAGCAAACAGG